rnacentral:rRNA from 1 species
UGGGGAAUUUUGGACAAUGGGGGAAACCCUGAUCCAGCCAUCCCGCGUGUGCGAUGAAGGCCUUCGGGUUGUAAAGCACUUUUGGCAGGAAAGAAACGUCAUGGGUUAAUACCCCGUGAAACUGACGGUACCUGCAGAAUAAGCACCGGCUAACUACGUGCCAGCAGCCGCGGUAAUACGUAGGGUGCAAGCGUUAAUCGGAAUUACUGGGCGUAAAGCGUGCGCAGGCGGUUCGGAAAGAAAGAUGUGAAAUCCCAGAGCUCAACUUUGGAACUGCAUUUUGAACUACCGGGCUAGAGUGUGUCAGAGGGAGGUGGAAUUCCGCGUGUAGCAGUGAAAUGCGUAGAUAUGCGGAGGAACACCGAUUGCGAAGGCAGCCUCCUGGGAUAACACUGACGCUCAUGCACGAAAGCGUGGGGAGCAAACAGG